rnacentral:lncRNA from 1 species
GCCAGACAUACAUCAUCCUGCUCCUCCAAACACUCCACUGGCUUCCAGUUGAAGCUCGCACCCACUACAAGACCAUGAUGCUUAGCUACAGAACAGGAAGAGGACCUGCCCCUCCCUACCUUCAGGCUCUGAUCCGUUCUGCCACCUCAGGUCUCUGGUCCCCUCCCACCCCUACGGGAGGGCAGUUCCUGCUCAGCCCAGUCCAGUUCCUGCUCAGCCCAGUCCAGUUCCUGCUCAGCCCAGUCCAGUUCCUGCUCAGCCCAGUCCAGUUCCUCCUCAGCCCAGUCCAGUUCCUGCUCAGCCCAGUCCAGUUCCUGCUCAGUCCAGUCCAGUUCCUGCUCAGCCCAGUCCAGUUCCUGCUCAGUCCAGUCCAGUUCCUGCUCAGCCCAGUUCCUGCUCAGCCCAGUCCAGUUCCUGCUCAGCCCAGUCCACCCAGUCCAGUUCCUGCUCAGUCCAGUCCAGUUCCUGCUCAG